GUUCAUUAUUCCUGCUUAACCAGACUUUCCCAGUGAGCCGGCUCAACAAUGGCAAAUCCGUGAUUCAACAAGCUUUUCUGAGGAUGGAUGGAAAUGUGUAGAUGGAAAUUUCGAGGACUCUGUCAUGGCCAGCAGUCCUUUCAGGAUUCAGUCAAGCUAAAUUUGCCAGCAUUAAGCGCCAUCUAUCCAGAAACCCUGGUGUUUGCUGGAAGAAAUACCCCUGAUUCCAUCCAGAUUGAAGCUGCUUCACCUGUCUGGGAAAAGGUCACCUGACCACCCACCGGCAAGUCAAGACAGACCCCGCUGCCACACCAGAUGAUAGACAGUGACUCCUCUAUUGACUAACCGGGCCUACACAGGCCGCUCAAAUCCGGCCUGAAUUCCCAAGUCCUGCUGCGAUGUAAAUCAGGUCUUUUUUUGCCUGUCAUGGAUACGGGAUAAGCUCGGCCUGCAGCUGCAGAAGUUUUACACACUGCCCCGUGUCCUUCGGAUUGAACAUAUACUCCCUGUGAAUUUGAAUCUCACUUAAGAUGGCCGAAUACCCUGUGAAGUGGGCGCUAUCGAACCCGCUCUCAGAGGAACAGCUGAACUGAAUCAUCCGAUGCGACGUGUUUAAAGAACGGCAACGUUUUCCCCCUCACCUCCUGUAGGCAAAAGGCACACUUCUUCUUCACCCUACUCUCUAUCUGCCCAUCGAGAUCUGUAAUAGUCGGCCAGGAAACAAAGUGCACAUAACUCCACCACUUGUUGGACGAGGUGAAAGGAAGGGUGAUGGGGACAGGAGAUGCUAAGAUGGGAAAGGUGAUUGCAUUGUGCUGUGGCACAGCUUGUACCAAUUUCCUGAGUUAAUGGGAUAUUUUUGCCUCGCUUCCCCUCCGUGUUUUCUUUCGCUCAUCUCGUUGGGAACUAGCAAAAAAGUUACCAACCUGUCUAAGAAAGAUGGACAGUCUGCAAAAUCGACGGUAGGGCUCUCGAUGCGUAAACAGUAGUUGAUCUGGGGGUACGUGAUGGGGGCUGUUGUCAGGUACAUGUAGAUGGAGGUUUGUGAUUGACUUGCAUUGUUACACACUUGAAAUACAAGACUGUAGACAAGCACGAUGUAAAGAAGAUGAGGCCAAUAUUUAUUAAAUGUUUGAAGAAUUUAAAAACACGAAAGGUUUAAAAGGUUUGCAUGCCUUAAUAUGAACAUAAUAAUGUGUAAUUUAACAGCACACUGACAUUUAUUUAAAGGGAAAGUCCACCAAGAGUUUAAGUUCUCUUUGGCUUCCAUUGUAUUUUUUGUCUAUACAAUUGAAGUCAAUGGGAACCGAAACUGUUUAGUUACCAGCAUUCUUCAAAAUAUCUUCUUUUGUUCCACAAAAAAGAAAAAGAAUGUCAUACAGGUUUGGAACGACAUGAGGGUGAGUAAACGAUGACAGAAUUUUCAUUUUUGGGUGGACUAUCCCUUUAAAUCAGCUAAUAAUAACUUACAAAGUAGGUGAUGAAGAGUGUCAACACAUUAUCUCUAAACAUAUCAGACAAAGAAAUACACUGCUAGGUUUUGUGGGAUUUUAGUCAGAGAUGGUCUAUUUUUCAGGAUGAAUGAAGACAAGAGUGGGACCUAUAUUAUUUUUGGAGGGAAAUAUCAGACGCAGGGAAUGACAGAGUGUGAAAGAGAGUGAGAGAGAACAUUGUAUCCAUUUGUGUUUGUGUAAACGCAGCAGCCAGACGCUGAGUCACUGUGAUGCUGGACCGUUGUGUCCUUCUGUUCUGUCUUGCAUGGUUUACUCUCAGGUUGCUGUAGUGAGUGUCCAUGACUCAGGACUGCUGCCGUAUAUCACAAGAGCUCUUCGGCUCACAGUCUCAUCAUCAGAUAGUUCAGCUUGUGCCUUGUACUGUUCUUUAAGACUAUUAUAGCCUAAAAUACAGAGAAAGAAACUGCCUAUUGUUUAAAACAUUAAUGAUGGGACAAACAUGAUAGCAUAGACCCUAUUUAGGCCUUUUCUGUCAGUCCUCACCUAUGUCCUUUUAAGCAAGAAACACAGUAAUUUUUAAAAAAUAGUUGAGUUAAAUAAAACUACCCAGCAGGUUGAGCAAACAUUUAACCCAACACCUGGGUUAAAGCAAUCUAAUUGCUGGGUUUGUCCAUUUUCAACCCAACUUGUGAUGUUUUUAACCCAGAAUUGUUUCUGAAUGUACAAACACAUCAAAGUAAACUUUAAAAAACUGGUACAUUUUCAUACAAGUGGUACAAGUUUGUGUUGACAUUUUUAUGACCUGUUUAAUCUUUGAUGUUCUAAAUUCAGUGAAUUUUGGCUUGCACUUCUGUAGCCACAGCUGAAUGUGUUUUCCCAUGUAACGUUGUCAGUCAUGGUCCCACACCAGCUAAACACCCUCUGGCUCUGCCUGCUACAGUAGCCACGCCCCCAACUCUUGCUCUUCAGCUUCUGUACCUUUACCCACUUGAUGUUUCAAUGCCUGAAUAAGCUGAGCUUAAUUAUCGAAAUGUCACUUCAUAGUCCCCUUCAAGCUCAUCUUUGUUAAGCCAACACUGCCUUUAAUGUCUCCCAACACAACUCCACACUCCAUCAUGACCAGGACAAUCCAUGAGUCACAUCCCAUCCGUCCCUGUCUGACUGUUGGACUGACCUUCGUGUGUCUUUAGAGUGAAAAAAGAGAGGGAUAGUAAAACUGAGAAGGAAGAAAGGAUCGUAAGGAUGGUAUUAGUGAAUGAGUGGCCUGACAAAUGUGUCGACUGGCACGCUUGGGGCUCGAUUAAUCUCCUUGAUGAGUCUAGGCUAAUGGGAGGAAGACCUUAAAGAGGACGGAUGACACCGCGCCCACCUCCCUCCAUGACACCCAGGCUCACAUUAAUGUCCUCCAGCAGAAAGAUUUUAAACACAUUCUCACACACACAGCUCUGAUCAUAACUGAAGGAUUGUCGUUUGAUAAAUUCACAUGAGUAUUAGCUCUAGAAUCAGCUCAGAUAUUGAUAUUGUAGUGAUGUUAGUGAAUGUUAAUGAUGAUAGCACAAAUUGUGGUAUAGCUAUGAUAUAUCACCCUGUCAUUCACUGUUUAUGUCUGUCUAUUUUACUGUCAAUGCUCAAAAAAAAAUAUUUUUGCUGCUUAUUCAAUUUAGAUAAUUAGAACGAGCGAGAGCAACACAAUUCUUGAACAUUUUGUUUAACUAAAUUUCUUUGCUGCAGUGUUAUUUUAGUAUUAUUUGUAAUAGUAUUUUUUAUAUUUUGAAAUAAACUU